rnacentral:rRNA from 1 species
AUGGGAGAAGAUCAUGUUUCCGUAAACACUCCAGCAACAGCAAUCCAGGGCCUUCUUCUCCUGCUCGUUGUUUUUCUCCUGGGCUUGCUCCUUCUUCUCCUGGGUGUGCUCCUUCUUCUCGUACAACAGCAGCAACAGCAGGAGAAGUACAUGACACCACAACAAGCACAUCAACAGGCAGCAGCUAUUGGAGAUGAUGCUCUAAGCCGGCAACAUCGCACAAGCACUGGCGGCAGCUUAGCCUAUAUAGCAGGAGCGGUGUCUGCUGACCUACUGCCGAGGAAAACACAAUUAUCUCGACUCCAUACAAACACUAUGGAAGCAGACUGCUACAAAAUAGGCAGCCUGGCCGCCUCAUACAAACAAAGAGAGAAGCAUAACAGAAUUGCAGAAGGGAUAUCAGUGUUGACAACAAACCAUCAAGAGCACCUCAAAGCACCACAUGGACCUCACUCGUGGAGAAGAGGGGUCAGUGACAAGAGCUCCUCUCCCAACGGCAAAAUAGGGCCACCCGCUAAGCCAAUUUUACCUGCCCCUGGUGGCGCCGGAGAUGGAUGCUUCUGCUGCUGGCCUUCACCGCCCCUGACGCUGCUGCUCAUGGACGGAAACCGCAUCGUGUCAGGGAAGAGGAUGGAGGGAAUGCAAUGGAAGAAGAAAUCAAAAAGGAGAGGAGAGGAGAGGGGGCUGACCGUUGGGGUUCUCCAUGGCGUCGGCGUCGGGGCAACCUUCCCGUCCAUGCAUGCGAGCGACAAUGACGUGCUGGAUGGAUCUGGUAGCGAGAGGAGACGAGGUGAGGAAGAGAGGCACGCGAGCACCGGAUCUGGGCGGAGCGCGAGGCCGCCGCUGCCCCUCCCUCGCCGCGGGGCCGGGUGCGGGUCACCUCCCAUGAAAGGAGACAUAGAUGGAGUCGGCGCGGACAUGGAUGGGACUCGGACGCGCAGCGGAUGUGGUUGCCGAGGCGGGCACGGAGACGGGGUGGGUCGCCGGGAUUCGUGGCGUGGUGGAGGCGCCAUAAGGAGGGAAGGAGGAGAGGGCGAGGGAAGGAGGGUGCCGCCGCCGGUGACGGGAAAUUCGGUUCGAUGCUUCACAAAGGUUAGUCCUCGACUGGGCCUGCCCAGGCAGGCAGCGAGCGGUGUAAAAAAUUCAACAAAAAACAUGAUUCAUCACAUAGAAUUUGAUCUCACGACCGCCCUCUUGUCGCUCGACGUAGCAAGCCAGAACCUUAUAGAAGGUUUCCAAAACGGCCAGGAAUCUUCUAGAAUGUUCCCAAAACCGAAUACCGUAUUGUGUGUGUACGUUAGGGAAUUGGACCGGCCCAUCUUGAUCGCCAGGAACCUUGUAGAAGGUUUCCAAAACGGUCAGGAAUCUUCUAGAAGGUUUCCAAAAUCAGAUACUGUAGCAUGUGUCGCGUCGUCGCAGGUAUUGCGAACCAUUUUCCCGACUUUUUCUCCUUGCUCCGAUGCGCACCGCAAUGGGCCGGCCCAACUUCCGGCCCAGUUUUCCACGCUCCGCCCCGCCCCGCCCUGCCCACUACUUUCGGCGGGAGCCGAAGCCUCCCCAUCCCACCCAAAGCCAUCGCCCCCAAAAAUAGGCAGAGCUGAUGUCAGCCGAAGCGCAGAAUCCAGUCGUAAUGGCGCCCGAAUCCAAUCGAGGCUCCCGGAGCCCAGCGCUUGCGGCGUGGAGUCGCCGGGAUCGCGAUCCGUGGUAAAGCUGCUGCCUUGUGACCAUGAGGUCACGGGUUCAAGUCCUGGAAACAGCCUCUUGCAGAAAUGUAGGGAAAGGCUGCGUACAAUAGACCCAAAGUGGUCGGACCCUUCCCCAGACCCUGCGCAAGCGGGAGCUACAUGCACUGGGGCUGCCCCCUUUUAUAUUCUGGGCGGCAUGGUGCCUCAAUAUGUACUUGCCCUGUUAUUUAAUUAUAUAUGGUUAUUUCUACCAAGAAUAGUUGCUUUGACGGUCUACCAAAUUGCUAUUUUGAUGUGCAAGUUGCUAUGUGGUGUCACCUUGGAUUCUCCUGCAAAAGUUUCAGAAGUGGAGGUUAAUUCCUCAAGUGAUGUUUCUUCCAUUGCGGCAUCUUUAGAGUGGAUUCUGUUGUUUGUUGGCAUUCAUGUUUCACUAUCUGACAUGUUUCACCUACAUGAGCAGUCAUUAGUACGAAUUUUCCAGCAUCCAGGUGAAAGGGGUAUCCUUGGCAACGUGGGGACAACCCCGAUUCUAGCAGCCACAACGGGGACUCCACAAGCAUCCAGACGACACCUCCAAGAAGGGAAUGAAACCAUGGCGCUGUCGCUGCCUUGUUCGGAGCCAGACCUAGAGUUUCCUUUGUGCAUGAGGGGGCGAGCCACAAUCAGAGCCAUGAUAACGCCACCCAUGCACCUAGGAGUCAGCAAGCAGAUGAAAAAGGGCCACUGGGUCUGGGACUGCCGGAAGAAGCAGCGCGACAAGGCCGUCGCUGUUCACCUGACGCAGGUGGACGAUAUGAAUCUAGGCCUCCUGAUGGCCACUUUUAUUGAGCUCGGGCUAGCGAAAAAGCCAGCCAUGGCAGCUGUUCCAGGGGCCUUGGCUGUAGCUGUCAAACUCGCUUCCAUGGCAGCCGUUCUCAUGGGGGAGCAUUUCUUCCUCAAUGAGGAGCGCACACGUGUGGAGCUCCAACUCUCCGUCCUCGACGCCGACGCCGCCUGGCACCUCGACUCCGGUGCGUCGAACCACAUCACCGGCAAGGAGUCUGUCUUCUCCGAGCUAGACAAGAACCUCUCUGGCAAGGUGCACUUCGGCGAUGACUCAAUCGUCAACAAACAUGGCCGAGGAACGAUUCUCUUUGCGAUUGAUGACGAGCGCCACCGUGCCUUGAUGAGCGUGUAUUGGAUUCCGCUCCUAAAGUCCAACAUCAUCAACAUCAGACCACUCAACGAGAUGGGGUGCCCAACGCCACAUCGAGCAUGGCAUGAUAUUGUCAGACCGAUGUGCCUCGCUGAGCACGCCGGUGAGGAUGCUUGGCAUUGGCACGCUCGGUUCGGGCACCAGAGCUCUAAGGGGCUCGAGAAGCUGGCCAGGAAAGGCAUGGUCUGCGGGCUGCCUGCACUCGUGCAUGUUGGACAGAUGUGCGAGGCGUGCCUUGUCGAGAAGCACCGCUGUGUGCCGUUUUCGGCGGCGACGAAGUAUAGAGCGGUCGAGCCGUUCGAACGAUCUAUGUGGCCCCAUCAUGCGGGCUACAACCGAUGA